rnacentral:rRNA from 1 species
CCCUUAGUAACGGCGAGCGAAAAGGGAAGAGUCCAGCGCCAAGUCUUGACGCCCGAGCGUUCAAGAGAUGCGGCGUUAAUGUAUUAUCGCAUCGUACAUUGUUGCAUGUUUCAAGUUCCCUUGACAGGGACAUCCAUAGCGGGUGCUAGGCCCAUAGAGACAGGCAACCAGUGUGCGCAGAUAAUGCAUUCUAGAGUCAGGUUGCUUGAGAGUGCAGCUUAAAGUGGGUGGUAAACUCCAUCUAAGGCUAAAUAUGACAGCGAGACCGAUAGCAAACAAGUACCGUGAGGGAAAGUUGCAAAGCACUUUGAAGAGAGAGUUCAACAGUACGUGAAACCACUGGGAGGCAAACAGAUGGAACCACGAAGUUGCGCCUCGCUCGAUUCAAUCAUUGAUACUGGUUACCGGUUCUUGUGUGGAUCUUUUCGGAGAUUAGCAAGURUCGUGGAGCUGGUUUCAAUGGUGCAUUUCGUGUGAGGAUGCUAAGCCACGUUCGAUUAGAGAGUUGGGACGGCCGUAGGACAGAAUUCAAGGAAGGUGACCGGAAAUUGCUUGCAUUUUUCGGUGUUAUAGCCUUGAAUUGGUACCGUCGCCUAACAAACUGAUCGAUAGAAAUUCUCCUUAGGAGUUGAACUGUGUCUGCCUGUGGGCGCCAGUCAAUGUUUCGAAGUGUUCUUUACGUAUCUUUGGUGCGGAAAGGCAUUUCAACAAUGUUGGUUGGUGUUUGCUUGCGUGACAUGGUGGAACUGUGGCGCGAGUAGGUCGGUUUCCCUCUGACCC